UAAUGGUUUCAUGACGUUCACUUACUCAAACUCAAAAGAUUAUAUGGCUCACGUAGUUGUAGAACUUUUUAUCUCAUCUCAUGUUUUCUCUAUAAAUACGCUUCAAUUGCAUAACUUUAUUUAACUCUCAUAUAUCUUCCUCUUCAUCUUAAUUUACUACCGCUCCUCUCCUCCUUCAUAGUACGUAUAACAAGAAAUAUUGUAUAAUACUUAGUCAUACAAAGAAAAUGGUUAAGUUCAGUACUUUCUUCAUCAUAGCUCUUCUUAUCUGUUCCACGCUUACAUACGCAUCAGCCAGGCUCAAUCCAACCUCCGUUUAUCCGGAAGAAAUCUCCAUCAAGAAAUUAGAACAAGGAGAGGAAAACUGUGAAGGUGUGGGAGAAGAAGAGUGCGUCUUGAUACGAAGAACUUUAGUUGCUCACACUGAUUACAUCUACACUCAAAACCACAGUCCUUAAAUAUGAUUACUUUGCUUCUGAACAUAUUGUUUGAAUUAAAUAAUGAUCAGUCGUCCAUAUAAAUCCAUAUACAUAUCUAUCUUCUUACUAUUGCAAUUUCUACGUUCUUAACGAAAUUACAACACAUAUAUACACUUGAUUGUAUCUUUGUCAUGCGUAUAAAGUAAAUCAGUUAUAUUGAACUAAGUGUUUUUUCUUUCUUCGUUCAUAAAUCAUAACAAAAGAUUCGAUAAAUAGUUUAAGAGUCGUCUUGCAGACCACACAAGCAAAUUAAUUAGUCUCAUCUCAUGUCAUUUGAUUCCUAUUUUGUUUUCAGUCUUAAAUUAAAGAAGCUGACCUUUUUUUUUGUUUUUUUUUGCGAAAAUUAAAUCCCCUCAUAGGUGAUAGCACCAGUUUCUCAUACCUCACUCACACGCAUUUAUAAAGAUAAUAAACGCAUACCACCAGCUAUAUAAUGACACAGCUGCAUCUAUAAAUGUAAAAUAGAGACAUAUAUGCUCUGGGAUUAUGUGUGGAUAUUAAAAAUAUAACGACGAACUUCGCAUUAACUCCCCAGGUCAAUGACAUAGACACAAUUUAUUCACCCAUGAAAUACUCAACUUUAAAAAAGAACUUGUUUUCUCAAAACAUAUGUUGAAGUUAAAAAAUUUGUAAGGUUAUACAUAAUUUGUUUUAGAGAAUUUAAUAGUACAAAUACUAUAAAUUAAAGUCAUGUAUAGAGUUUUGGAAAGUGGUCAAAAUCAGAUCACAAGUUUUUAACUUAUUUAUAAAAUGGAGAAAAACUUGAAAAAAGAAAACAAGAAGAAGAGUCGGGUGACAAUUAUGUAUUUUGGUCCCGUCUCUUCUCUUUUUCCCUGUGUCUGAAAGUAAAGGGGCGUUGACAAAAAGAAAGAUGGCUCUUUGAUGGGCUAAAAUGUUGGGCCAAGCCCAUAAUAUAAUUAGUUGGCAUUGUCAUAAACUCAAAUCUGGAAACCCUUACUUAUAGAUUCGUCGCGAACGGCGGCUGACCGGAAGAUCAGCUUGAGCGGCGGCGACUGUUAUCGUUCUUUUGUAAAAUGUUUCGAAGGAACAGGUUUCUGUCUUUACCGAUGGUGAUCGGAGCAGUUGUGAUUGGUGUGGUUUCAGGGAAAGCUAUAUUUGGGCCUCCGCUUGAUCAAUACUGGAAGGAGAAGCUUGAAGGAGAAGAAGCUGUUGUUGCUGCAAAGGAAGCCGCCACUGAAAAGAGCUCUGAUUCUUCUUAAUCUCCAUAAAAUAUUUUUGGGAUGUUUGAUGUAAAUCUCCGACCUUAACUAAGAAGAGCUUGGACAAAUGUUUGCAAGGAAGCACAAUGUUUGUUUACUGUAGGAGGAGGCGAUGCGAUGCAUACAAACAAAAUGUAACAAUGUAGUAAGUGCCUUGUAUUUCACGUUUUUGCAAACUCAAAGAGAAUAAUAAAACCCUAAGAAGCACAUCCUUCCUUAAUCAUUCUCA